rnacentral:rRNA from 1 species
GACGAACGCUGGCGGCGUGCUUAACACAUGCAAGUCGAACGGAAAGGCCCUGCUUUUGUGGGGUGCUCGAGUGGCGAACGGGUGAGUAACACGUGAGUAACCUGCCCUUGACUUUGGGAUAACUUCAGGAAACUGGGGCUAAUACCGGAUAGGAGCUCCUGCUGCAUGGUGGGGGUUGGAAAGUUUCGGCGGUUGGGGAUGGACUCGCGGCUUAUCGGCUCGUUGGUGGGGUAGUGGCUUACCAAGGCUUUGACGGGUAGCCGGCCUGAGAGGGUGACCGGCCACAUUGGGACUGAGAUACGGCCCAGACUCCUACGGGAGGCAGCAGUGGGGAAUAUUGCACAAUGGGCGGAAGCCUGAUGCAGCAACGCCGCGUGCGGGAUGACGGCCUUCGGGUUGUAAACCGCUUUCGCCUGUGACGAAGCGUGAGUGACGGUAAUGGGUAAAGAAGCACCGGCUAACUACGUG